UACGUAGGCAGCGAGCGUUGUUCGGAGUUACUGGGCGUAAAGAGUGCGUAGGCGGUGGCCUAAGUCUGGUGUGAAAUCUCCCGGCUCAACUGGGAGGGUGCGCCGGAAACUGGGUUGCUAGAGUGUGGGAGAGGCUAGCGGAAUUCCUGGUGUAGCGGUGAAAUGCGUAGAUAUCAGGAGGAACACCUGCGGUGUAGACGGCUGGCUGGACCACUACUGACGCUGAGGCACGAAAGCGUGGGGAGCAAACAGG
rnacentral:rRNA from 1 species